rnacentral:misc_RNA from 1 species
AAUUCUCAACCUUUCUGGCUUUAACAAGCUAGUUAGGCUUGGAUUAUGGGAGUUGCUGGGUUUUCAGAAGCCAGCUCUCCUCAAACACAUUAGCAAGAUCAUUGUGCUGAUCAACUCUGGUAUGAUAAUUAUCUAUACCGUUGAAGAUCAGUUUCCUUUGCGGAGGAUUUUGCUUCUAACAGUCUCUAUUGAGACAAUCCUGACAA